UCAAACAUAAAUGUCCACAUAUUAUUGUGUCACAUUCUUGAUACUUUUUAUAAUUAUAUUUCACGCUACCAACAUGGACGUAUUUCAUGAGUUCGGGUGGAGGUGGGAGCCAAAGCUGUCAAAGUUAUGUGACUUCUCGGCUUUUUCUCCACUCGACUCCUCGACAAUUCUUGUUCGAGUAGUCCGUCCGCGGGUAAAGUGUCACGCAUGAAAACACCGCGAAAGUUACAAAUUUUCAUGGCUUCCGAAUACUUCAGUAGAUCGAUGUCGCCGCUUGAGCAGCAUUCACAGCUUUGACUAUUGCAGCACUACCACCCGACAAUGCUCCAACAGUGCUAAGACCAGCAAAGAUGGCACCAAUAAUUUUUUUCAAACAAACACUUUUCGGGCGUUUCAACACUCGCUUCACAUCCAAUCCGAGCACCUUAAGCUCAGUUGUUUAAGGGCCAUCUUUUUUGAGCUUUCCACUCUGUUUACCUUCCCCUCGGGAGCAGUGGCAUAGAGAAGAAAAGUUGAUUCAUUGCAAUGAAUUUUCAAAACGCGAUAGUUUCGAUGGAAAUAUCAUUCACCAAUUUUUCUGCAUUACUCGAAGUUCUUCGAAUCUCAAUAUGCACUGUCCCGGAAGAAAAAUGUUGCCACAAUUUCUUACGACCGGAAAGCAAAUUUUUUCGAACGAGUUUUGUUGAUUUGACUGUGAAUUUUCUUUUAAAAUGAAACUAUAACUAAAAAGAAAAAGCGUAUUUUCAUACGUGCGAAAAUGAAUAUUGACUUGCACGACGAUGCCACGGUGAACACUGCAUCGGUGGAAGACUUUGUAAGAAAAAAUGGAAUUAUUUCGUGUACAAAGCGAAUAUUGUUUUUUAACGGAGCUCAUAAAAUCAAUAUUGAGCGUGCGCUACCAACGCCGAUUCGGUAUUAACUUAUGCAUCGAAGACAGAUUGUGAUUCAUUUAUUCAGCGGUCCAUAAAAAUUCGUGCCGUAUUAAUCUUUAGUAGAGCCAUACUUUAAAAUAGCUGCAUGCGCAGAAAUUAAACGACACUGAUAUCCGCUCGUGCAUGCUCAACUGGCAAACAUGAAGAAAGCAAACAUUAUUAUCGUCCUCGGUUUUCAUUAAAAAUUAAUUUUACAUAUUUUUUCGAGGCGGGUUUUUAUACGAGCCAUUUUUCCAGAUAAUUUUCCCAGACGAUUGUGGACAUUAGCGGACGGAAAGACGGUUUAUUUAUGUAUGAAUAAAAAA